rnacentral:rRNA from 1 species
GACGAACGCUGGCGGCGUGGAUUAGGCAUGCAAGUCGAACGGUAUCAUCCUUUCGGGGGUGAGAGAGUGGCGAACUGGUGAGUAACACGUAGGUUAUCUACCCUCAAGACGGGGACAACCCAGGGAAACUUGGGCUAAUACCGGAUGUGAGCAACUUUUAGUUGUUUGAAAGGUGGCGUAAGCUGUCGCUUGGGGAUGAGCCUGCGUCCUAUUAGUUAGUUGGUGAGGUAACGGCUCACCUAGGCAAUGAUAGGUAGGCGGCCUUAACGGGUGGUCGCCCACACUGGGAUUGAGAUACGGCCCAGACUCCUACGGGAGGCAGCAGUCGAGAAUAGUCUACAAUGGUCGGAAGACUGAUAGUGCGACGCCGCGUGAACGAUGAAUCCCUUCGGGGUGUAAAGUUCUUUUAUAUGUGAGCAGUGCUUCUUAUAUUAACAGUAUGGGGAGAGAGAUAUUAGCAUAUGAAUAAGCAACGGCUAACUCCGUGCCAGCAGCCGCGGUAACU